AUUGAACGCUGGCGGCAUGCCUUACACAUGCAAGUCGAACGGCAGCACGGGAGCAAUCCUGGUGGCGAGUGGCGAACGGGUGAGUAAUAUAUCGGAACGUGCCCAGUAGUGGGGGAUAGCCCGGCGAAAGCCGGAUUAAUACCGCAUACGACCUGUGGGUGAAAGCGGGGGAUCGCAAGACCUCGCGCUAUUGGAGCGGCCGAUAUCAGAUUAGCUAGUUGGUGGGGUAAAGGCCUACCAAGGCGACGAUCUGUAGCUGGUCUGAGAGGACGACCAGCCACACUGGGACUGAGACACGGCCCAGACUCCUACGGGAGGCAGCAGUGGGGAAUUUUGGACAAUGGGCGCAAGCCUGAUCCAGCCAUGCCGCGUGUGGGAAGAAGGCCUUCGGGUUGUAAACCACUUUUGUCAGGGAAGAAACGGCCUUUUCUAAUACAAGGGGCUAAUGACGGUACCUGAAGAAUAAGCACCGGCUAACUACGUGCCAGCAGCCGCGGUAAU
rnacentral:rRNA from 1 species